rnacentral:rRNA from 1 species
AUUGAACGCUGGCGGCAGGCUUAACACAUGCAAGUCGAGCGGUAACAGAGAGAAGCUUGCUUCUCUGCUAACGAGCGGCGGACGGGUGAGUAAUGCCUAGGAAUCUGCCUAGUAGUGGGGGAUAACUUGCCGAAAGGUAAGCUAAUACCGCAUACGUCCUACGGGAGAAAGGAGGGGACCUUCGGGCCUUUCGCUAUUAGAUGAGCCUAGGUCGGAUUAGUUAGUUGGUGAGGUAAUGGUUCACCAAGACCGCGCUCCGUAACUGGUCUGAGAGGAUGAUCAGUCACACUGGAACUGAGACACGGUCCAGACUCCUACGGGAGGCAGCAGUGGGGAAUAUUGGACAAUGGGGGGAACCCUGAUCCAGCCAUGCCGCGUGUGUGAAGAAGGUCUUAGGAUUGUAAAGCACUUUAAGUUGGGAGGAAGAGCAGUUAACUAAUAUUUGACUGUUUUGACGUUACCGACAGAAUAAGCACCGGCUAACUUCGUGCCAGCAGCCGCAGUAA